rnacentral:rRNA from 1 species
AUGAACGCUGGCGGCGUGGAUAAGGCAUGCAAGUCAAACGGAAUAUAUUAAUUUAAUAUGUUCAGUGGCAGACGGGGUAGUAACACGUAGGAACUCACCCAAGAGACGGGGAUAACUCCGCGAAAGCGGAGCUAAUACCCGAUAGCCCCCGCCUACAUUUAGCAAUAGAUGUUGGCGGGGUAAAACACUUAGAUUGGCUCUUGGAGAGGCCUGCGGGCUAUCAGCUAGUUGGCGGGGUAAUGGCCCACCAAGGCGACGACUGCUAGGGGGAGUGAGAGCUUGGCCCCCACCAAUGGAACUGCGACACGGUCCAUACACCUACGGGUGGCAGCAGCCGAGAAUAUUCGACAAUGGGCGAAAGCCUGAUCGAGCGACGCCGCGUGCAGGACGAAGUCCUUCGGGACGUAAACUGCUUUUUUAGGGGAGGAACGAAAGUGACUGUACCCUAAGAAUAAGGGCUUGCUAACCUCGU